rnacentral:lncRNA from 1 species
UAUCUUGUUAAUUUGUUGCAGUGAAAAUUGACGACACGGUUGAGUGUCAAGAUGAUGUUGAAUUUGGUUUUGACGAGGAUGAAGAUGAAGGAGAUGAUGAAACAUGAAAGGUAUAUCAUAAUAUCACAGCUUUCUCCCAGUUGUCUCUCUUUGCUAGUGUGCAGCAUCUAGGGUGAGUUGGUUAAUUGAUAGACUAGAAAUUUUGUUUUUCAAAAACGAUGAACAUUGUUCGAGGCAAAAACAGGAAAAACAAUUCAGAAAAAAAAUGUUUGAAACUCGGUUUUCAAAUGGCAUUUUAAUGUUAACUUGUGAAAAUCACGGCACUAGUUUUUUGUAAGGAAACUUCAACUUUCAAGCAUUAAAAACUGGUAAAAUAAUAAGUUGGUAUUUUAGGGUCCAUAUGCAGCUUACUGAAUUUAAAAUGUGCAUGUUUUCUUUUGCACAGAUGAAAUUUUGAACACUAUUCAAGAAUACAAAAUUGUACUGUGUAAGUAUGUUAUCCAGAUAGGGGUCAAUGCUCAAGAUUUUGGAUAAAAUAACACUGCAUGUAUAAAUGUCAAUGAACUAUUUCCUGAGAAAACAGUUGUAUUGGUUAUAGUCACUGAUGUUAUGCAUUAAACAUUGCCUAUUUUAUAUGUAGGUAUAGUAUACUCUGAUAUUUCAUGGGCUUCUCACAGUAGUUUACUGUCAAAAAUAAAUUUAGCCCAUUGUCUUGCUGAUAUUUUUCACGUUUAUUUGACUUUAAAAUUUUAAGUUGAAUUUUAUUAGAAGAUGUUUUGUGGCGAGAAGCACUCAAAAGAUAUAUUUAGUUGUUGGAAAAGGGUAGUUUUGUUAGAUGGGAUUUUGGCAAAUGGAAUUUUCAGCAAAGGUUUAUGCACAAUUGUCAGUAACCAGCAAGGGCGGAUUUUCAUUUAUUUAAAAGGAGGGGUAGAAAAAUUUUGGGUGGGGUGCAAGCGGCACCACUCAGUGAGCUUCGGCAGGGGUUAUGCGUUUGGGUUAAAGCCUUUCACACAAAAUAGGAGGAGUGAAGCGAAAUUUUGGUGGGGUUGAACAUUUUAUUAGAAGGGUAGAGAGAUUCUAGGAGGGGUUUAACCCCCCCCCCCCCCC